rnacentral:lncRNA from 1 species
CCCCUAUUUAUUUAUUUAAUUUUAUUUUUAUAGUCUUGAUAAGUUGCUGAGGUUGGCUUUUAACUUGCAGUUCUCCUGCCUCAGUCUCCUGAGCUGCUGGAAUUACAGGUGUGCUCCAUCAUGCCCCACCCAACCUGUUUUUAAUCUUAUGUGUAUUUGUUUUUAACUCACAUUUUGUAGUUAAGGUCUUCUUUAUGUCCUCUGUCCCUGUGUAACUGUUUGAACACAUGGUAUGAUAAAUGUUUUAAUAUCUUUGUUGAUAUCUAAGUGUGUCCUGCAUUAGUUUCAGUUGAAUUUUCUCAUGAUGGGUUGUAUUUUUCUGCUUGUUUAUUAUAAUUGAAUGUCAGAUAUUGUGAAUUUUACUCUUUUUGGGUGAUAGAUUAUUUUUGUUAUUAUUUUGUUUUAUAUUUGGUAUUCCUUUAGAUCUUUUUGUGCUCUCUUCUAAGAUGAAGUAACUUGUAAAUAGUUUGAUCCUUUUACAUCUUGCUUUUAAAGUUUGUUAGGCAAGACAAGAAGAAUGCUCAGGUUAUGAUUAAUUCCCACUACUGAGGCAAAGCCCUCUGGGUACUAUACCUGUUACACUGUGAAGCAUGAGGUUUCUCAGUGUUGCUAGUGGAAACAUACAUUACUUGGAGUCUUUUAUGAGAGCAGAGUCCUGAUGCCCCAAGUACUCCUAGGUCAUUCCUUCUUUGGCCUUAGUAGUUUCUUGACACACAUGCACUGACAUCUCAGCCAUCCUCAGUGAUCCUCAGCUGAAGUCUUCAAGGGGAUGCUCUGCAGGCCCCAUACUUAGGUCUUUGUUCUGCAUUCUUCUCUCUUUCCAUGUCCUCUCUAGGCUCUAGCCUACUUAGUUUCUGCAGGCUCUCAGCCCUGACAUCUCAAAUAGGAAAAUCUGUUAUUUCCUCUUGGGUUUUUUCUUUGUGUUCUGUGAAUUGGGAACUCUCUUAAGGCAGUAAGCCGAGAAGUUAUGUGACUCAUCUUCCUGUUUCCCAUUUCUCAGGCUUCACGUACUUCAUUGCCUAAUAUCCAGUGUUUUAAAAAUUCUCAAAACUAUUGAUUUUUAUUCAUUGAUUCUCUAACUUCAUAUCUUACAUGAGUCUUUCAUGAGGUUUUAUUGUUACUCAGUAAGUCUUGAGUUUUCUAAGGAAAAAAAAC